GAUGAACGCUGGCGGCGUGCCUAAUACAUGCAAGUCGAGCGAACAGACGAGGAGCUUGCUCCUCUGACGUUAGCGGCGGACGGGUGAGUAACACGUGGAUAACCUACCUAUAAGACUGGGAUAACUUCGGGAAACCGGAGCUAAUACCGGAUAAUAUAUUGAACCGCAUGGUUCAAUAGUGAAAGACGGCUUUGCUGUCACUUAUAGAUGGAUCCGCGCCGCAUUAGCUAGUUGGUAAGGUAACGGCUUACCAAGGCCACGAUGCGUAGCCGACCUGAGAGGGUGAUCGGCCACACUGGAACUGAGACACGGUCCAGACUCCUACGGGAGGCAGCAGUAGGGAAUCUUCCGCAAUGGGCGAAAGCCUGACGGAGCAACGCCGCGUGAGUGAUGAAGGUCUUCGGAUCGUAAAACUCUGUUAUUAGGGAAGAACAAAUGUGUAAGUAACUAUGCACGUCUUGACGGUACCUAAUCAGAAAGCCACGGCUAACUACGUG
rnacentral:rRNA from 1 species